rnacentral:snRNA from 1 species
CUACUUAUCUGGCAGGGGAGACACCAUGACCAGGAAGGUGGCUUUCCAAGAGCAAGGCUCAUCCCCUGUACUUUGGGUAUGCCAGCCCCUGCAAUUUCCCCAGAUGCAGGAAACUUAACUCCAUAAUUUGUGGUAGUAGGGGACUGCAUUUGUGCUCUCUCCUA